GACGAACCACACAAACGUUUAUUCGGAAUUACUGGGCUUAAAGGGUGCGUAGGCUGCGCAGAAAGUUGGGUGUGAAAUCCCUCGGCUCAACCGAGGAACUGCCCUCCAAACUGCUUGGCUUGAGUCCGGGAGAGGUGAGUGGAAUUCCCAGUGUAGCGGUGAAAUGACGUAGAUAUUGGGAGGAACACCAGUGGCGAAGGCGGCUCACUGGACCGGAACUGACGCUGAGGCGCGAAAGCGUGGGGAGCAAAGCGGGGAUAAGAA
rnacentral:rRNA from 1 species